UACGUAGGGGGCAAGCGUUGUCCGGAUUUAUUGGGCGUAAAGCGCUCGCAGGUGGUUCGUCGCGUCGUGCGUGAAAGACCCCGGCUCAACUGGGGGGUGUCGUGCGAUACGGGCGGACUGGAGGCCAGUAGGGGGAUGCGGAAUUCCGGGUGUAGUGGUGGAAUGCGUAGAGAUCAGGAGGAACCCCAGAGGCGAAGGCGGCCCCCUGGCUCGUACCUGACGCUCAGCCACGAAAGCAUGGGGAGCGAACGGG
rnacentral:rRNA from 1 species